rnacentral:rRNA from 1 species
UACGUAGGUGGCAAGCGUUGUCCGGAAUUACUGGGUGUAAAGGGAGCGCAGGCGGGAAGCCAAGUCAGCUGUGAAAACUACGGGCUUAGCUUGUAGACUGCAGUUGAAACUGGUUUUCUUGAGUGAAGUAGAGGUUGGCGGAAUUCCGAGUGUAGCGGUGAAAUGCGUAGAUAUUCGGGGGAACACCGGUGGCGAAGGCGGCCAACUGGGCUUUAACUGACGCUGAGGCUCGAAAGUGUGGGGAGCAAACAGG